CAGUUCUUUCUCAUGAUUCUGCAGUAAUAUUGGUAUCCGCUAGAGGGCAGCAAUGCUCUGUUCCUGCUGGAUGAGACCAUCAAAGAAAGAAGAAGAAGACAUUCUACGUCAGUAAACAUGGCGGCGUCUCUGCUGUGCAGGAGGACAGUAUGGUAUUCUUUGAGGUUUUCUGAAUGUAAACUUGCUCUUUCUCUGAGCCCGCAGUCCGGUUUUCUAUUACAGGCGGCUUCCUACAAUCCCGAACCGCUCAAACUGAACAUUAGAGAUCCUUACAUCCCCGACGAGGCCAGCGAGAGGACGCAGAAGUGGCAGAAGACGGCGCAGUAUGACCGGAAGCUGUUCGGCUGAUAUGGAUCGGCGUCCACCCCGCCUCUCUGUGGCCCUCUCACGAGAAGCUGGAUAGAAUCAUUGCAGAAGAAAAAGAGUGGUAACCUUUACUGGAGGUGAUGCUGAAGAAAAUAGAAGCCCGGGAGAAAGAAGAGGCGGGAAAAAGAGAAAAUCAUUGCAGCAAAUAUGGCCAAAAUGCCCAAGAUGGUGGUCGACCGGCGGCGGAAAAAGCGUGAGGCCAAACAGAAGCUGAAGGAAGAGAAGGCGCGCUGAGAGAAGCUGCUGGCCGAGGCCAGGGAGCGCUUCAGGUCCUCCGUGGACCUCCACAGCCCCAAGUUCCUGGAGAUGGUGGCAGAGAUAGAGAAGGAAGAGAAAAAGAAGAGGAAGAUGCUGAAGCGGAGACAGAGAGGAGCAGGUGGUAGGCGCAGGUCCAACUCCUGCUGCCUCGCCGUAGUCUGCACCGACUUUAACCACAGUCCAUUCCUGGGGUUAAACAGGAUUCACCUGUUGGGCUGAGAUAUCCACUUUUGUUCUAACAUUUAUUAAAUCGAGUCCAGAUAAAACUGUUUAGGUCUGGAAAAGCUUUUUUUGUCCUCUUUAUAAGAGAAAAACAAUAAUAAAGAUCUAAAUAUUUCUUAAAAUAAA